UACGGAGGAUGCAAGCGUUAUCCGGAUUCAUUGGGUUUAAAGGGUGCGUAGGCGGUCUGAUAAGUCAGUGGUGAAAUGCUGCAGCUCAACUGUAGAACUGCCAUUGAAACUGUCAGACUUGAGUGCGCCUGAGGUAGGCGGAAUGAGUAGUGUAGCGGUGAAAUGCGUAGAUAUGACGCAGAACACCGAUUGCGAAGGCAGCUUACUAAAGCGUAACUGACGCUGAUGCACGAAAGCGUGGGGAGCGAACAGG
rnacentral:rRNA from 1 species